rnacentral:rRNA from 1 species
UACUCCUACGGGAGGCAGCAGUGGGGAAUAUUGCGCAAUGGGGGAAACCCUGACGCAGCGAACUACGUGCCAGCAGCCGCGGUAAAACGUAGGGGGCGAGCGUUGUCCGGAAUUACUGGGCGUAAAGGGCGCGUAGGCGGUUUCUUAAGUCAGAGGUGAAAACUACCGGCUUAACCGGUAGCCUGCCUUUGAAACUGGGGAACUUGAGGGCAGGAGAGGGGAGUGGAAUUCCCAGUGUAGCGGUGAAAUGCGUAGAUAUUGGGAGGAACACCAGUGGCGAAGGCGGCUCUCUGGCCUGUUUCUGACGCUGAGGCGCGAAAGCGUGGGGAGCAAACGGGAUUAGAUACCCCGGUAGUCCACGCCGUAAACGAUGGGUGCUAGGUGUAGGAGGUAUCGACCCCUUCUGUGCCGUAGUUAACACGGGUAGCAAACAGGAUUAGAUACCCUGGUAGUCA